AUGCACCCGGCUCCCGAACCUGUUGUUCGGAUUGUUGACGGCGACAUUGCCGCCGCCGGCGCCGCGCUCCAGCCCGAACCACCUGGAGACAACAAGCUUCUCAUCCCAGCGCCUCUCGAUGGCAGUCACCGGGACGACGAGGCGGCCGAGGAUGUCAUCCCUGCCCGGCGACACAUGAUCCUCCAGAGAGACCACCAAGAACUCCUCGAAUGGCUCGGCAACCACAAACAUCAGGUCUUCGUUCCAGAACGGGCUCGUCGGGCCCCGGUUCGCCAUGAUCGGCGACGCUCGUGUGCGCAGCAUCUGGCUCCCGAUCUGCGCGCGCACGAAGAGCUCCGGGUACCGGCCCAUCGCCAUGGGCCCCUUGUCCAUGGGAAGCAGGUCCUGCGCCUCGAUGACGGACACACGGAGGUACCACAGCUUGGGGGCGACGUAGACCUUGGACUUGAUGGAUCCCAGGGGGCCGUGGCCCUGGACGCCGGCGGCCUUGGAGUGCCACGCCUCGGCGAAGGCCUCGUCGGCCUGGGUGCCGUACCACACGGCGACCAUCACCUCCACGCUGCCGCGCUCGCCCUUGCGGUCCUCCAUGGCGUACCACUGCGGCGCCAGCGUGCUGUCCGGCGGCGCGCGGCGGGGCACCUCGGAGAGGUCGAACCAGAUGCGGCCGACGUGGUCGUCGCUGCCGCGGGCGCGCACGAACACCUCCACGAAGGAGGACUGGAUGGUCUCCUUGGAGAAGGCGAAGACCUGGUCCCACUGGUGCGCGGCGGCCGGCGGCGUGACGCCGCGGUAGUUCCCGAGCUUGACCUCCGCGACGGCCUCGCCGGGCGUCGCCACGCCGCACGCGCGCACCACGCGCACGUACAGGUACUGCAUCUGCUCGACCAGGUCGUAGGUGGCGCUGGCCUUGUCGGCCGUCAGGCCGCCGCCGAGGUGGGGACGCGUCUCCUUGAGGGAGAAGUCCGCGGGGCCGCCGGGGAACAUGCUGGGCACGGGGUAGUGGUCGGCGAGCAUCACCGGCUUCAUGGCCGCCGGCUGCGGCUGCGGCAAGACCUCCAUGGGCUGCUGCGGCUGCUGGCUGGCGCUGGUGCUGCUGCUGCUGCUGCUGCUUCUUGCCCCCAU
rnacentral:rRNA from 1 species